rfam:Eubacterium limosum KIST612, complete genome.
GCAAAGGCUCCGAACAGAUGGAUAACGAUGAGACAUUGUGCGGAGC